rnacentral:rRNA from 1 species
UGGGGAAUAUUGCACAAUGGAGGGAACUCUGAUGCAGCGACGCCGCGUGAACGAAGAAUGCUUUCGAGUUGUAAAGUUCUUUUAUAUGGGAAGAUAAUGACGGUACCAUAAGAAAAAGCCCCGGCUAACUACGUGCCAGCAGCCGCGGUAAUACGUAGGGGGCUAGCGUUGUCCGGAAUCACUGGGCGUAAAGGGUUCGCAGGCGGAGAUGCAAGUCAGGUGUAAAAGGCAGUAGCUUAACUACUGUAAGCAUUUGAAACUGCAUAUCUUGAGAAGAGUAGAGGUAAGUGGAAUUGUUGGUUUGGCGGUGAAAUGCGUAGAUAAUAAAAAGAAUACCAGUGGCGAAGGCGACUUACAGGGCUCAUUCUGACGCUGAGGAACGAAAGCGUGGGUAGCAAACAGG